UGGCCAGACUCCUACGGGAGGCAGCAGUGAGGGAUAUUGCACAAUGGGGGGAACCCUGAUGCAGCGACGCCGCGUGGGUGAAGGAGCGUUUCGGCGCGUAAAGCCCUAUCGGCAGGGAAGAAGGAGGACGGUACCUGACUAAGAAGCCCCGGCUAACUACGUGCCAGCAGCCGCGGUAAUACGUAGGGGGCAAGCGUUAUCCGGAUUUACUGGGUGUAAAGGGAGCGUAGACGGUCCUGCAAGCCAGAUGUGAAAGCCCGGGGCUCAACCCCGGGACUGCAUUUGGAACUGUAAGGCUAGAGUGUCGGAGAGGCAGGCGGAAUUCCUAGUGUAGCGGUGAAAUGCGUAGAUAUUAGGAGGAACACCAGUGGCGAAGGCGGCCUGCUGGACGAUGACUGACGUUGAGGCUCGAAAGCGUGGGGAGCAAACAGGAUUAGAUACCCGAGUAC
rnacentral:rRNA from 1 species